rnacentral:rRNA from 1 species
UACGAACUGUGCGAACGUUAUUCGGAAUCACUGGGCUUACAGGGUGCGUAGGCGGCUAUUCAGGUCAGGUGUGAAAGCCCCCGGCUCAACCGGGGAACUGCGCUUGAAACCGAGUGGCUCGAGUCAGCUAGAGGUACACGGAACUUCCAGUGGAGCGGUGAAAUGUGUUGAUAUUGGAAGGAACACCGGAGGCGAAAGCGGUUCUCUGGGACGGUACUGACGCUGAGACGCGAAAGCGUGGGGAGCGAACAGG